CCUACGGGAGGCAGCAGUGAGGAAUAUUGGUCAAUGGACGAGAGUCUGAACCAGCCAAGUAGCGUGAAGGAUGAAGGUUCUAUGGAUUGUAAACUUCUUUUAUACGGGAAUAAACGGAUUCACGUGUGGAUUUUUGCAUGUACCGUAUGAAUAAGGAUCGGCUAACUCCGUGCCAGAGCCGCGGUAAU
rnacentral:rRNA from 1 species